UGAGUUAAAGUUCUCUGGGUUGAACGUUUAGUUGUUAAUUAAAAUUUUGCAGGAUCGAGGCCCGCUUAGCU
rnacentral:tRNA from 1 species